rnacentral:RNase_P_RNA from 1 species
GGGAUGGUACUUAGCUAACGGUUCCAUCUGAAAGGGUGUCUGAACUGAGGAAAGUCCACCCACCAUCUCCUAUGUCUUUCAGGGGAUAUGGCCACUUCAUAAAGAAGGUGCAGCAAUGUGCGGCAACCGCACAGAAACGAGACCGCCUUGAAGGAGGAUGAAAGUUGUGAAAGGACUGGCGACAAUCCUGAGCUAACCAACUGACGCUCUUUAGGGAAAGGGUGAAACGGCGAGACCUGGCCGGUGCAAGGAUUUAAUCCGCUUAGUUAAAUGCUAAGGCAGACCAUAAAUAUGAUCUGACAAAAGGUGGCUUAUUCCAGCCC